rnacentral:sRNA from 1 species
GUGGCGCAGGAGUGCUUUUUGUCCUUAGACAAAGGUACAAUGUAUGUCUGUCAGUAGAGGUUUAAUGGAAUCUAAUCUACAUAGUGAUUGCAUGGAAGAAGGGAAGAUAUUAAAGGACUUCAAAUCUUAGAGGUUUUCUAGAACAGUGCAUCUUCUAGUUUUUGUUUGUCUGAUUUUGAGCUGAUGCUGCUACCACUCAACCUAAUUUAUGCUCAGUUUGAAUGAAUAGCAUAUGAAUUAUCUUUUUGUUGGUAAGAUUUGCCUUACCAGAGUUCUUGAGGGAUGAUCCAUGUUGUGAGGAGGCUUUCUUCACAACUGUGAACGGCAUCUCCUCCAUCCUCUUUGACAGCAUCUUCUUGUCAGGCUUGAAGCAUGAAAAGAAGCUCAUCUCUGCUCACUGGGCAGCAAGGUUAUACAGGCUCCCUUCUCCUUUGCUAAAGAUUCUGUUGUCAAGUCACAGAUUGUUCUUGAACAUGCGCAAAAACAAGAGGAGCAUUUUUUUUGUUUGUUUUUGAAGGGCCACAUUAGGAGCAUUUUCUUCAUGCUUCUAUGGAGGAGUGUGCUGAACCAAGAAUAGAAGUCUCUUUGUUUUUGGGCCAUGGUUGAAUUCUAAAAUUAGAUAGGGUGCACUGUUGAGAAUUACCGUCUUCGCGAGCAUCCUGGAUGCAACUUCCUACUUAGAAAGUUCAGGUUCUAGUAACCGAAUCCGCUGGAUUUUUACUCAUGUUGUCUUCUUGGUUUGAGUUUUAGAAAUUGGACUGUUUUGUCUUCCUAUCAGUUAUUGAAGUGAUCUGAUCUGGAUUGUUCAAACUUGAUC